UAUAUACUUCCUCCGUCCAAAAAUACUUGUCGGAGAAAUAGAUGUAUCUAGACGUAUUUUAGUUCUAGAUACACUCAUUUUUACCCAUUUUUUCGACAAGUAUUUCCGGACGGAGGGAGUAUAAG
rfam:Triticum aestivum genome assembly, contig: Triticum_aestivum_CS42_TGACv1_scaffold_050206_1BS